GGUCAUAUGCUCGUCUCAAAGAUUAAGCCAUGCAAGUCUAAGUUCAUAUCAUAUAAAGAUGAAACUGCGAAGCGCUCAGUAAAUCAGUUAUUGUCCGUUCGGUCAUAUCAGCCAUGGAUAACUGUGGUAAAUCUAGAGCUAAUACAUAGCAAAUCUCGCACUUGUGUGGGAGCAUUUAUUAGACUCAACCAACUGGCUACGGCCAUUUGAUGAAUCCUAAUAACUGAGCAUAUCGAACAUUAAUUUGUCGAUAGUCCGAUCGAAUUUCUGCCCUAUCAACUAGUUGGUGAGGUAGUGGCUCACCAAGGUCGUGACGGGUAACGGGGGAUCAGGGUUCGAUUCCGGAGAGGGAGCCUGAGAAACGGCUACCACAUCUAAGGAAGGCAGCAGGCGCGCAAAUUACCCAAUCCAGACUUUGGGAGGUAGUGACGAGAAAUACCGGAGUAGACCUUUUAUUGGUUCACUAUCGGAAUGAACGUAAUCUAAUACCUUCGAUGAGUAGCUAUUGGAGGGCAAGUCUGGUGCCAGCAGCCGCGGUAAUUCCAGCUCCAAUAGUGUAUAUCAAAAUUGUUGCGGUUAAAACGCUCGUAGUUGGAUUACAAAAGCUCUUUGGUGGCCAAAUCUAGGUUUGGUUGUUGAGGGGUUUUUUUAUCGCGAGAGCCACACGUGGGAUUAAAUUCUUGUGAGUGGUCACUUGCGAGAUGUGCCUUGAAUAAAGCACAGUGCUCAAAGCAGGCGUUAGCUCGAAUGUUAUAGCAUGGAACGAUUAUGUUGAUCUUGUCGACUGUUGGUUGUUGACAUUGGUCUCGAUUAAAAGGGACAUUUGAGGGCGUUAGUACUUGGUGGCGAGGGGUGAAAUCCUUAGACCCAUCAAAGACUAACUAAUGCGAAAGCAUUCGCCAAGAGUGUUUUCAUUAAUCAAGAACGAAAGUUGGAGGUUCGAAGACGAUCAGAUACCGUCCUAGUUCCAUACAGUAAACUAUGCCAACAUGGGAUUAGCCCGGUUUAAUCCAGGUUGGGCCCUCYGUGAAAACAAGUGUUUCKGCUCUGGGGAGAGUGCGCGCGCAAGCGGUAAAUUUAAAGAAAUUGACGGAAUGGCACCACCAGGAGUGGAGCCUGCGGCUUAAUUUGAUUCAACACGGGGAAACUCACCAGGUCCAGACAUUGAUAGGAUUGACAGACUGAGAGAUCUUUCAUGAUAUGAUGAUUGGUGGUGCAUG
rnacentral:rRNA from 1 species